GACGAACGCUGGCGGCACGCCUAACACAUGCAAGUCGAACGGAACCUAUUGAAAGCUUGCUUUCAAGAAAGUUUAGUGGCGAACGGGUGAGUAACACGUGAGCAAUCUACCUUUAAGAGGGGGAUAACAUUUGGAAACAAAUGCUAAUACCGCAUAAAAUAGUAACCUGGCAUCAGGAAACUAUCAAAGAUUUUAUCGCUUAAAGAUGAGCUCGCGCCUAAUUAGAUAGUUGGUGAGGUAAUGGCUCACCAAGUCAACGAUUAGUAGCCGGACUGAGAGGUUGAUCGGCCACAUUGGGACUGAGACACGGCCCAGACUCCUACGGGAGGCAGCAGUGGGGAUAUUGCACAAUGGAGGAAACUCUGAUGCAGCGAUGCCGCGUGAGGGAAGAAGGUCUUCGGAUUGUAAACCUCUGUUAUUAGGGAAGAAACAAAUGACGGUACCUAAUGAGGAGCCACGGCUAACUAUGUGCCAGCCGCCGCAGUAAACCUGAGACUACCAA
rnacentral:rRNA from 1 species